rnacentral:rRNA from 1 species
CAUUGUCGAAACCUGCGCCACGCAGAAAGACCCGUGAACAAGUUUUCUAACAACUUCGGGCGGGGGUGUGCGCGAGAGCGCUAGCCUCCGACUGACGAGCGUCGGGGGGUGUGACUCCCCGGCCUCAUAACGAACCCCGGCGCGGAAUGCGUCAAGGAAAACGAAAAAUACUGGGAGGAUGCGUUCGCGUGUCUUCCCCAGAAUCGAGUCACAACGACUCUCGGCAACGGAUAUCUCGGCUCUCGCAUCGAUGAAGAACGUAGCGAAAUGCGAUACUUGGUGUGAAUUGCAGAAUCCCGCGAACCAUCGAGUCUUUGAACGCAAGUUGCGCCCGAAGCCUUCGGGCUGAGGGCACGUCUGCCUGGGUGUCACUCAACGUCGCCCUCACCCCACGUACAGUGGGAGGUGGAGCGUAUGAUGGCCUCCCGUGAGCCACUGCUCGCGGUUGGCCCAAAUUUGAGUCCUCGGUGCGGGUUGUGCCACGGCCUGCGGUGGUCGAACGAAUGUGAAGCCCUGACGGACACCGUGCGCACGCCCCGAUCCUAUGCAGGUACUCACGACCCUGAUGCGAUCGAUUUAGAUCGCCCACGAUGCGACCCCAGGUCAGGCGGGACCACCCGCUGAAUUUAAGCAUAUCAAUAAGCGGAGGA